rnacentral:rRNA from 1 species
AAUGAACGUUGGCGGCGUGGAUUAGGCAUGCAAGUCGCGCGAGAAGUCAUUUAGCUUGCUAAAAGACGGACAGCGGCGGAAGGGAGAGUAACGCGUGGUUAUGUACCCUCGAGACCGGGAUAGUGUCGGGAAACUGGCAGUAAUACCGGAUAACAUCUUCGGAUCAAAUGGUGCGAUUCCGCUCGAGGAUCGGACCGCGUACUAUUAGCUAGUUGGAGGGGUAAUGGCCCACCAAGGCUUAGAUGGUUACCGGGUGUGAGAGCAUGGCCCGGCUCACUGUGGCUGAGACACUGCCCAGACAUCUACGGAUGGCUGCAGUCGAGAAUCUUCGGCAAUGGACGAAAGUCUGACCGAGCGACGCCGCGUGCGGGAUGAAGGCCUUCGGGUUGUAAACCGCUGUCAGUUAGGAGGAAAUCCAUGAGGGUUCUCUCUCAUGGUUGACCGAUUUUCAGAGGAAGGACGGGCUAAGUUCGUGCCAGCCGCCGCGGUAACAC